rnacentral:lncRNA from 1 species
UUUUACCUGUGGUUUUCUUGGUGGUUCCGAUCCGGAUCUUCAAGGAAAGCUUGAUUUUAGUCUUGUUCCGUUGAUUCUGGUUUGGUUCCCUGCUGUUCUGAUCCGCUCUUCUUCUUCACAGGUUCGGUAUAUGGAUUUUCGUCCCUCUUCUUCGUCUCCGGGAAAGCCUCUGCGAUCGUGCUUGAGUUCGCCGCUUUCAGUGGUGGACUCGCACUCGAAUUGCAGAGCAACGAUUCAAUGA